GUUGACAACAUGUAACAAGCAGUGCGAAUACAUCUUGUUGAAGGCUUGUUGGCAGACUUGUUACAAGAUGUGAGAUUUUUACGUGUGUAAAGGACACAUAUUUGCAAGCACGGUCUUGUUUUGUUAUAGACAGUGAUAAAUCCCCCCCCCCUAUAUGCCUCUCGGUCACGUGAUACCCCUCCCCCCUUUUGUGACACUAUGUGACUCCUGAUGAAACACCCCAUACCCCCACGGGCGUCACGUAUUUUGUGAAUGGCCCCUUAUUGUGAUGUAAGAAAAAGAGUUAAGUGGCGAAAAUAUGUACUAUUUAAGGCACUCGUAGGAGUGUUUUAUCAGAUAUAAAACGCGAGGCGCAGCCACGAGUGCUUUAAAUGGCUUAAA